CUCGAGAACAGAGGGGCGGGUGCCGGCCCCCUGCCAGGCUCAGUCGGCCAACCACCCUCGGCCUCGGGCCCGUGGGGUACAACGGCAGUAAUCCUAACAACAGGACGGCAGCAAACGCCCCGGCGGGGCUGGUCACGGAGCAGGCACCGCUCUCAACGUUAGCGCUCGGUCUGCACAGCUGCCUACAGGCUGAGGAAGAGAUACGGGGACAGAGACCUGGGGCUGAACGUACGACGGGGAGGGGAAGAUGGCCACGGGGCUUCCAGGAGCUGGCCCAGCCCUGCAGGGGCUCCCGCCCCAGUCCCCUCCAGCCUCAGCCCCUCAGCCUCACCGGCACACAGAGUUCCCCAUGGCGAGACCCCAGGACCGGAGAGAGGGCUGGGGGUGAAGCGGGUUGGACACCCCCCACCCCGAAAGGGAACCACUGCCUGGUCUCUUGGCUGGUCUGUGGCUCUGCCAACACCUUCUGGUAAGGGCAGGAUGUGGGAAGGCGGGGACAUCUGGCGCUCCAGGCACCAGCCCCGUCUGGAAAAGAGACCUUCCACAGAGGAACUGAGGGGGAACAGCUUUCUUCGAAUCCCACCCGCUGACGUUCUGAGGGUCUUACAGCUGGAAAGCGCAGGGGCCACCCGGAGCCAUCUCUUGUCUGACGGAACAGCUCAGGGUCUCCCGUCCACUCUACACUCCGCCCUCUGCCGUGACUCAGCUCCUCUGUCGGGCCUGGGAUCCCAGCCAGAAUUAAUCCCGGCUUCCUCUCCCGCCAAGGGACAGGGAGCACCCCUUCCCCGCCCGGCUCCUCCUUCCCAAACUCUGUCCUCUUGCAAGACCCCCUCACAGCCCGGCCCCAGGUUGGGACCCAGGUUGGGAAGGGAAACGGGUAGGCCACCCAAGGUCAGCGUGCGCCUCCCUCCGGCUGCAAACACGUGUGUCGGGCCUUGGCCAACUCUGAGGUAACAGCCCUGCCUUUCCCAGGGCCUCCCCGCGCCCCCAGCACAGGCCUUCUCCCCAACACAGCCCUCGCCACUGUCCUCAAAGGGGAGGCGUCCCAACAAAGUGUCCUUUCCUACUAGCAAUAAAAACAGCAGAGGCCAAGA